rnacentral:rRNA from 1 species
UACGAAGGGGGCUAGCGUUGCUCGGAAUCACUGGGCGUAAAGCGCGCGUAGGCGGUUCGUACAGUCAGACGUGAAAUUCCUGGGCUCAACCUGGGGGCUGCGUUUGAUACGUGCGGACUUGAGUGCGGAAGAGGGUCGUGGAAUUCCCGGUGUAGUGGUGGAAUGCGUAGAUAUCGGGAGGAACACCAGUGGCGAAGGCGGUUGCCUGGAGCUUUGCUGACGCUGAUGCGCGAAAGCGUGGGGAGCUAUCCGG